AAAUUGAAGAGUUUGAUCAUGGCUCAGAUUGAACGCUGGCGGCAGGCCUAACACAUGCAAGUCGAACGGUAACAGGAAGCAGCUUGCUGCUUCGCUGACGAGUGGCGGACGGGUGAGUAAUGUCUGGGAAACUGCCUGAUGGAGGGGGAUAACUACUGGAAAUGGUGGCUAAUACCGCAUAACGUCGCAAGACCAAAGAGGGGGACCUUCGGGCCUCUUGCCAUCAGAUGUGCCCAGAUGGGAUUAGCUUGUUGGUGAGGUAACGGCUCACCAAGGCGACGAUCCCUAGCUGGUCUGAGAGGAUGACCAGCCACACUGGAACUGAGACACGGUCCAGACUCCUACGGGAGGCAGCAGUGGGGAAUAUUGCACAAUGGGCGCAAGCCUGAUGCAGCCAUGCCGCGUGUAUGAAGAAGGCCUUCGGGUUGUAAAG
rnacentral:rRNA from 1 species